rnacentral:rRNA from 1 species
GACGAACGCUGGCGGCGUGCCUAAUACAUGCAAGUAGAACGCUGAAGGAGGAGCUUGCUUCUCUGGAUGAGUUGCGAACGGGUGAGUAACGCGUAGGUAACCUGCCUGGUAGCGGGGGAUAACUAUUGGAAACGAUAGCUAAUACCGCAUAAUAGUAGAUGUCGCAUGACAUUUGCUUAAAAGGUGCAAUUGCAUCACUACCAGAUGGACCUGCGUUGUAUUAGCUAGUUGGUGAGGUAACGGCUCACCAAGGCAACGAUACAUCGCCGACCUGAGAGGGUGGUCAGCCACACUGGGACUGAGACACGGCCCAGACUCCUACGGGAGGCAGCAGUAGGGAAUCUUCGGCAAUGGGCGGAAGUCUGACCGAGCAACGCCGCGUGAGUGAAGAAGGUUUUCGGAUCGUAAAGCUCUGUUGUAAGAGAAGAACGAGUGUGAGAGUGGAAAGUUCACACUGUGACGGUAUCUUACCAGAAAGGGACGGCUAACUACGUG